rnacentral:snoRNA from 1 species
CCCUCCUACAAAGGUGUGUUGAUGGUUUCCUAUCCUUGGCUACGUAAUAAUUGGAGGCAAAAAGUUGUAACCUGGAAGAAGGCUGGAGCCCGUUUGUUCCCUGUAGGCUCAAGAUAAUCCUUUCCCACACAA